rnacentral:rRNA from 1 species
UACGUAGGGGGCAAGCGUUGUCCGGAUUUAUUGGGCGUAAAGAGCGUGUAGGCGGCCAGGUAGGUCCGUUGUGAAAACUCGAGGCUCAACCUCGAGACGCCGAUGGAAACCAUCUGGCUAGAGUCCGGAAGAGGAGAGUGGAAUUCCCGGUGUAGCGGUGAAAUGCGCAGAUAUCGGGAGGAACACCAAUGGCGAAGGCAGCUCGCUGGGACGGUACGUGACGCUGGAGACGCG